AAAGCCUGUCUCACUUGCCGCCUUUAGUGAGGCUGUAUUCAUAGAAAGUAAAACCCACUGUUGACCACCAACCACGUCGUGUAUUUGCUCUUUAUCGUCAUGUAUUUGCGCUUUAGCGUCGUGUAUUUGCUCUUAUGGAUUGUGCAAUAUAUAUCCAUAUAUGGAAUACGUACUGUAUGUACAUAUGGAAUAUUCAGCAUAAUGAGUAGGCCAAUUCCUAUGAUCGAAGUAGUAGCUUCUAGAUUUAAUCUCAUACGUAAAUUUAACGUCACAAUGCGCGUUUGAAGCAACAUUUGUUAUAAAAAUGACGACAGGUUUUGAGCAGAAUACUUAGGAUUAGAAUACUUUUGAGCAUCAUCAAUAUCUUAUAGAACAUAUUACAAGCAAGCUCAAUAACAAAGAAUAAUAUACUUCACAAUGCGCGUUUGCAGUAACAUUCGUUAUAAAAAAGACCGCAUAUUUUGUAAAAGCCAAAUGAACAUAUAAUACAAUGUGGGCGCUGUGCUGUAUACUUUGUGUUGAUUUGUGUUAUGAAAUUUUAUACAAGAAACAUAUUGUACUUAUAGCGAUUAUUAUGUCAAGGCUUUUGCCGCUGACCAGGAAGUUAAUAGGCGCGUCCCCGAUCAUCGCCCGGGUUAUAGCAUUCCCCCCAGAAAAUGGAUGCGAUACGUAUAUCUGUGGUUUUAUAUGCCAGAAAAUGGAUGCGAUACAUAUAUCCCUUUGAUAUUUGAAACAUUAUGUAGAAACUAGAGAGUCAACAAAAAACGAUGUACGUGUUGUUUGAGUUUGUCGUCAAAAGCAGUUAAGCAUCUGAAUUAAGAAACUACAACCAUGCUUUGAGAGUGUAUAAUGAAAGAUGUUUGCAAGCAGAAUACAGGAAAUGGAUAGGCAUUAUGACCAAGUUGUGCUAAGCUUUAAGUGCUACCCAUUCAAGUUUACUUCUUCUAAAUACAACACAAUCAUUGAAGCACUUAUGACUGUUUGCCUGUUUCCUUGGAAAUUUAUUUAAUGUUGAGAUGGUAAAUGUAGCCAUUUGUGUGAUAUUGUGCCAAGAGUUUUGGCAUGGACAAACAAAAUAGUUGGCAAGGGCAGCAGAAAAGUCCAAA